rnacentral:rRNA from 1 species
AUUGAACGCUGGCGGAAUGCUUUACACAUGCAAGUCGAACGGUAGAGGGGGCAACCCCUUGAGAGUGGCGAACGGGUGAGUAAUAUAUCGGAACGUGCCCAGUCGUGGGGAUAACGUAGCGAAAGCUACGCUAAUACCGCAUACGAUCUAUGGAUGAAAGCGGGGGAUCGCAAGACCUCGCGCGAUUGGAGCGGCCGAUAUCAGAUUAGGUAGUUGGUGAGGUAAAGGCUCACCAAGCCGACGAUCUGUAGCUGGUCUGAGAGGACGACCAGCCACACUGGGACUGAGACACGGCCCAGACUCCUACGGGAGGCAGCAGUGGGAAUUUUUGGACAAUGGGCGCAAGCCUGAUCCAACAAUGCCGCGUGCAGGAU